AUGGAGGAUGCUGUGGUGAGCGCGGCGACGGGGGCCAUGGGACCCGUUAUGGGGAAGCUGGUCGCUCUGCUCGGCGAUGAGUAUCGGCGCCUGAGGAGUAUACACACCGAGAUCAAGACCCUCACUCGGGAGCUCGAAACCAUCGAUGCUUUCCUCGAGAACAUGGCGGAGGCGGAGGAACCGAACCCGCAGGACAAGGCGUGGAUGAAGGAGGUGCGGGAGCUGUCCUAUGACGUCGAGGACAACCUCGAUGAGUUCAUGGCUCGCGUCGUCGCCGACAAAUCCUCCAAGCCGGAAGGACUCGUGGACAAUAUCAAGAUCAAGCUGAAGAGACUCAAGGCUCGCCAUGAGAUCGCCAAGGCGAUCGAAGAUCUCAAGAAACAUGCCAUCGAGGUGAGCCAGAGGAACAAGAGGUACAGGGACCACGCCAUCUCCAACACCAGCAGGUCGCCCAAGAUUGUUGACCCCCGAGCUCUUGCCAUCUUCGAGGACGUGUCUAAACUUGUUGGGGUCGAUGGACCCAAGAAAGAGCUCCUCCAACGCUUGGCCGAUGACCAGCAACAAACAAAGUUGGUCGCUAUUGUUGGGUUUGGAGGAUUGGGCAAGACAACAAUUGCCAACCAGGUAUACCAAGAGCUCAAAGGGCAAUUCGAAUAUCGUGCCUUCUUAUCCGUGUCACGGAAUCCAGACAUCGUUAACGUUAUGAGUAAUAUUUAUGGCCAAUUGAAUCAUGGGUAUUCUGGUGGCGGCACUGAGAACUUGCAGACACUCAUCGCAAAGAUUUUGGAGUUCCUCCAAAACAAAAGGUACUUAAUUGUUGUUGAUGAUAUAUGGAAGGUCGAUGAUUGGAAUGCUAUCAAGUGUGCAUUUCCCAGAACAAGUCCGGGGAGUAAGAUAAUCAGCACUACUCGUAUAAAUGAUGUCGCUGAAUCAUGUUGUUCAUCAUUUAGUGGCCACAUAUACAAUUUAAGGCCUCUUAAUAUGAUGCAAUCGAGACAACUGCUGUAUACAAGACUAUUCAACUCUGAAGAGAAAUGCCCUUCGGACCUUAAGGAAAUCGCUGACCAGAUUUUGCAGAAAUGUGAUGGCUUACCUUUGGCAAUCGUUGCUAUAUCUGGUGUCUUGGCUCACAAGGCAAGUAAAAAGGAUAAAUGGAAUCAAGUGAAGGACUCAAUUGGCCGUGCACUAAGAAAUUCUAGCGUUGAAGCAAUGGUAAAUAUAAUAGCCCUUAGUUACUUGGAUCUUCCUCGUCAUCUCAAAACUUGUUUGUUGUAUCUGAGUAUAUUCCCAGAAGAUCAUAUUAUCGAGAAGGAGAACUUGAUAAAGAGAUGGGUUGGCGAGGGAUUUAUAUGUAAAGAGAGCAGUCGUACAAUGUAUGAGUCGGGAGAGAUAUAUUUCAAUGACCUCAUCAACAGGAGCCUGAUCCAGCCCACGGGGAUUGAUGGGAAAUGUAGUGAGGUCAAGAGUUGCCGAGUUCACGACACUGUUCAUGAUUUCAUUGUGUCGAAGGCCGUGGAUGAGAACUUUGUUACUGUAAUAGGUGUACCUGGUGUAAAUCAUGAUCCACAGAUGAAGGUUCGUCGGUUGUCCCUGCAGAACAACGGAGAGAUUCCGGCGUGUCUGAUUGUAUCUAAUGCUCGGUCACUCCAUGUUUUCGGGCGUAAUGCGAAGAUUCCGUCUGUGUCGCAGUUCGGGCUCUUGCGUGUCAUGGACUUUGAAGACUGUUGGCAGUUAAAGGAUUACGACCUUGCUGGCAUCGGAAAUUUGCUGCACCUCAAGUACCUGAGGCUCAAGCACACAGGUGCACUCAAAGCGCUCCCGGAAGAGCUAGCAAGGCUGCAGGAGUUGCAGAUUGAUAUAGAUGGAUCCGUCUACGAGAUGGAAUUCCCAGAGGCCUUCCAACGGCUGGUAUGUAAUGUAGCUCUAUAUCUUAAUGGGCAUAAUAAGGUGCCGGAUGAGACGGCAUCCGUGCAAAGGCUAAGAGUGUUGGAAGGUCUAAGUGUCUACCUUCAGUCAGUUGAGUUUCUCAAGGGGCUUGGCCAACUGAAAAACCUAAGGAGGCUGGGCAUGGUAUUAAUAUACUACCAUUGUGGCCGUGAUUGGGAGGCGAAUCUGAAGCAGGCACAAUCUUCCGUGUGUGAGCUGGGAAAAGCAGGACUCGAGUCUCUGCACCUUUACAUCGACGAGGAAGUGGUUGAGAUCUUCGAGAUGGAUUCAUGGUUCUCCGUUCCUCCUUAUGCCCUGCGGGAGCUUGUCAUCGAGGGGAAAUCAGUCACAAGAGUUCCGACAUGGAUGGCCUCGCUUGACAACCUCGAGAAACUGCACCUCCGCAUAUAUAAGAUGCCUGAGGAAGAGGUGAAGAUCCUGGGUGGCCUGCCAUCUCUGCGUCAUCUCUGUAUCGAGUGGGCUGAUUUUGAUUAUGACGGCAUGUUUGACGACCCCCCCAUGGAGGUGGUUGAGGCUGCUGUACGGAAAGCGAUGGAAGACCAUCCCAACCGUCCUACCUUGGUCUGGACAACUGAGUGGGACCCAUUGCCUAGCUUCUUGCAGCUCCGAAGUUAA
rnacentral:rRNA from 1 species